GUCUACGGCCAUGCCACCCUGAACAUGCCCGAUCUCGUCUGAUCUCAGAAGCUAAGCAGGGUUGGGCCUGGUUAGUAUUUGGAUGGGAGACCACCUUGGAAUACCAGGUGCUACAGGCA
rnacentral:rRNA from 1 species